UUCAAUUCGGUUCUGCUAAAAUUCCCAGCCCUCGUGUUCUUGAGUGAAAAUAGUUUCCCUCUUUAUUUAACAUAAAGUUAUGUAUGUCAGAAAUCUAAGAAAGAAAGCACUGCAAGAUGUAGUAAUAGUAACCUGCAGUGUUUAUGGCUACCUGCCUUGGAAAGAUCACUUCCUUUGUAAUUCCAUAUUCAUAUUCCCUAGUAGUAGCUUAAGGAUAAAAGAGAAGUGAGAACCCUAUCUUACCCUAUUAAGAUAGUGUUAUUAAGAUUCAUUCAAUGUGAUGUAGAGUAACCUUCAAUUGAUGUGAUACAGAUGUCAUUUGUUUCAGAGAUUGUGUUACAAAUGUAGUAUCAGAUUCUGAGAAUAAUUAAUCACUUUGGAUUUGACUAACUCCAUAGUCAACUGAUAUCCUUUAAAUGUUAUUGUAAACUCCACUUGGAGAGAGCUGCAGUAUCAAGAUCUCUAGAUGCUAUCAAAUUAGACGUUGGGUAGCUAACCAUGAUUUUCUAAUACAAUGAAUUGCUUGAUUUAUCUUUAGGAUUUAGCGUUGUAAUUUACCAUAUCACUAUUUUAAAAUUUUGCAUUUCUACUGAUUUAAUUAUGUUCAUUUCUUUUGUCAUGCAAUAUGUAACUAUGUUUGUUUUUAGCUAGUAAACUAUUUAAUUUAUUUAUUAAAUUUGUAACCGUCUUUACUUUUAACAUUUUUAUUCAUAAAAACAAUGUGUAACGUCUAUGCAUUUGGAAAUUUUUAAUUACUAGUAACAUUUUUACUUGUAUAUUGAACAUGGCUAACACUAACUGUGUGGUGGAUUGGUGGCGAUUAGUUUAUUUUUAUACAAAUUAUGCGAUUUUUGUAUUUUCAAAGAAAUUGAAACUUGUUUACAUCUUAAAAGUGUAUUAUUUCUGAGCGUUUAUAGACUUGGAGAGAUAUGAUAUAGGUCAGUAAUAGUAUAUGUAAAUAUCAACAACAUGGAAUGAUAUAUUUACCAUGCAAAGUAAAACUUAGAAACAUCUAUUAAAAUGAAGUAAGAAACAUUCAUUUAUUUCUUCACUUGGCUGAAUAAAUACAAAAAACAUUCAUUAAUUUCAAAGUAUGUUUAUUUGGUGAUGCCACGAUAGUAUUAUUUUGUAGUUUUUAGGAAAUAAAGUAAUUAUGUAUGUCAGAAAUUAUAGUAUUAUUUUGUAGUCUUUAUUUAACAUAAAAUUAUGUAUGUCAGAAAUCUAAGAAAGAAAGCACUGCAAGAUGUAGUGAUAGUAACCUGCAGUGUUUAUGGCUACCUGCCUUGGAAAGAUCACUUCCUUUGUAAUUCCAUAUGUAGUAGCUUAAGGAUAAAAGAGAAGUGAGAACCCUACCUUACCCUAUUAAGAUAGUGUUAUUAAGAUUCAUUCAAUGUGAUGUAGAGUAACCUUCAAUUGAUGUGAUACAGAUGUCAUUUGUUUCAGAGAUUGUGUUACAAAUGUAGUAUCAGAUUCUGAGAAUAAUCACUUUGGAGUACUGAUAUCAUUUAAAUGUUAUUGUAAACUCCACUUGGAGAGAGCUGCAGUAUCAAGAUCUCUGGAUGCUAUCAAAAGUGUAUUAUUUCUAAUACAUGAUUUUUUAAUACAAUGAAUUGCUUGAUUUAUCUUUAGGAUUUAGCGUUGUAGUUUACCAUAUCACUAUUUUAAAAUUUUGCAUUUCUACUGAUUUAAUUAUGUUCAUUUCUUUUGUCAUGCAAUAUGUAACUAUGUUUGUUUUUAGCUAGUAAACUAUUUAAUUUAUUUAAUUAAAUUUGUAACCGUCUUUACUUUUAACAUUUUUAUUCAUAAAAACAAUGUGGAACGUCUAUGCAUUUGGAAGUUUUUAAUUACUAGUAACAUUUUUACUUAUAUAUUGAACAUGGCUAACACUAACUGUAUGGUGGAUUGGUGGCGAUUAGAUUAUUUUUAUACAAAUUAUGCGAUUUUUGUAUUUUCAAAGAAAUUGAAACUUGUUUACAUCUUAAAAGUGUAUUAUUUCUGAGCGUUUAUAGACUUGGAGAGAUAUGAUAUAGGUCAGUAAUAGUAUAUGUAAAUAUCAACAACAUGGAAUGAUAUAUUUACCAUGCAAAGUACUUAGAAACAUCUAUUAAAAUGAAGUAAGAAACAUUCAUUUAUUUCUUCACUUGGCUGAAUAAAUACAAAAAACAAUCAUUAAUUUCAAAGUAUGUUUAUUUGGUGAUGCCACGAUAGUAUUAUUUUGUAGUUUUUAGGAAAUAAAGUAAUAUAGAGAGAGAGAGAGAGAGAGAGAGAGAGAGAGAGAGAGAGAGAGAGAGAGAGAGAGAGAGAGAGAGAGAGAGAGAGAGAGAGAGAGAGAGAGAGAGAGAGAGAGAGAUUCUUCUAUUCAUUCCGCACCAGUUUCGGCGGCAUUUAUAUGCACUACUCUAAAAUAACCCAAACCCGUAAGGCCGUAACGUUGCUGCUCUUCCAUAAGAAACAAAUAUCAGAAUACUAAUUUAUUAGAGGCGGGACCCGGCUGCUCUUACUCAGUUAUAUCAUCGAGUACGUUCAGUAUUUCUUUAUAAACUUUUGUUUGAAUGUCUGUGUUAAAAUAUGGAUCUUUCGAAUAUUGUCAAGUAAGUUUUUUGUUACGUUAUGACUUAUGAGUCAUGUGCACUAAGUAACACCUCUUGGCACUUCUUGCAUCUUGACUAUAGGGGAAAACAAAUAACAGCCAACUGUGUAAAAAUAAUGAAAUCUGAAGGAAACUAAGUGUGAUUGUGUGAGAGCUUGAAACAAACAAAAUACGGAGAAGCCACAAUCUUGAGUCACUCACCAAACAAAGAACGUUUCAUUUGAACCGCUCAAAACUAUCCAUAAUUUCAAAAAGAAUUAUGAAAAAUAUACUAUGAUAACCAUCACAUUCUUAUUUGCUUUUAGUGUUCCAUAUGCUUGUAUAGAACAGAAAGAAUUUUUUUUAGAAUUGUUGUUGUGGACCAAAAAAAAGACGACCCGGUCACUCGAUUUCUAGCGGAUUUGAAAAAUCUAGUGAGCUGAGCCGGACAACGAACGCUCUAGUUUCCGACGAGGGAGCAGACAAGGGUCCCACUAUAUAAAGUGAGAGACGGAGACCAAAUAAGUGAAUGAUAAGUGAUAACCAAAGAAAUUAUAAAUACAAAGAAAAUCAGAAAAAACGCACUUGAGUUUAGACACGUACCUAAAACCAUGUGGUCCGGCAAAAAACGCCUUUACACAGUAGUGACUUUUUUUUUUUUUUUGAAACUUGGUGACUUUUUUGUUUUAGUUAAUAUUUUUAUUUAUAGUAUACAUGGAAUAAUCUGUAUAAGUGUACCACUCUUCAUUUUAUUGUAUGUGAAUUCUAAACCAAAGAGAAAUUUGUUUUCUCUCGUACUUAUCAAGCAACAUACAUAUUUUUAAGGUAUGAUUUGUAGUUUAUAGAAAUUAUAUAAUAUACAUUAAAUAAUGUGAUAUAAUAUUGCACUACAAGAAAACACAAGUUUUACGAGGACAGUUUUCCUCGUGACUUCGUCGUAAAAGCAGUGUUACGAGGAAUUAGCGAGGAAACUCGUUUCGUCGUUAUACGUUUGUCGUAACGCAUAUAUCCUCGCUAAUUCGUCGUAACAU